rnacentral:rRNA from 1 species
GAUGAACGCUGGCGGCGUGCUUAACACAUGCAAGUCGAACGAACCUUCGGGUUAGUGGCGGACGGGUGAGUAACGCGUGAGAAUCUGCCCUCAGGAGGGGGACAACAGCUGGAAACGGCUGCUAAUACCCCAUAUGCCGCGAGGUGAAAUGAAUUUCGCCUGAGGAUGAGCUCGCGUCUGAUUAGCUAGUUGGUGUAGGUAAUGGCUCACCAAGGCAUCGAUCAGUAGCUGGUCUGAGAGGACGAUCAGCCACACUGGGACUGAGACACGGCCCAGACUCCUACGGGAGGCAGCAGUGGGGAAUAUUGGACAAUGGGGGCAACCCUGAUCCAGCAAUGCCGCGUGUGUGAAGAAGGCCUGCGGGUUGUAAAGCACUUUCAGUGGGGAGGAAAAGCUCAAGGUUAAUAACCUUGAGUCUUGACGUUAUCCACGAGAAGAAGCACCGGCUAACUCUGUGCC